rnacentral:lncRNA from 1 species
GUAUGCCUGGUGGAUUCCCAGGAGGUAUGGGUGGUAUGCCCGGAGGAUUCCCAGGAGGUAUGCCGGGAGGAAUGGGCGGUAUGCCUGCAGGAAUGGGCGGCAUGCCAGGAAUGCCAGGAAUGGGUGGUAUGCCGGGAAUGGGUGGUAUGCCAGGAAUGGGUGGUGGCGGUAUGCCAGGAAUGGGCGGUGGCGGUAUGCCAGGUGCAGGCGGUGGUGGUAUGCCCGGUGGUAUGGACUUCAGCAAAAUAUU